rnacentral:rRNA from 1 species
GUCGAACGCGAAAGUUCCCUUCGGGGGGCGAGUAGAGUGGCGCACGGGUGAGUAACACGUAGGUAAUCUACCUUUGGGUGGGGAAUAACAGCCGGAAACGGCUGCUAAUACCGCAUAAUGCAGCGGCUCGACAUCGAGACAGUUGUUAAAGCGGGGGAUCGCAAGACCUCGCGCCUGAAGAGGAGCCUGCGGCGGAUUAGCUAGUUGGUAAGGUAAUGGCUUACCAAGGCAUCGAUCCGUAGCCGGCCUGAGAGGGCGGUCGGCCACACUGACACUGACAUACGGGUCAGACUCCUACGGGAGGCAGCAGUCGGGAAUUUUGGGCAAUGGGCGCAAGCCUGACCCAGCAACGCCGCGUGAAGGAUGAAAUCCCUCGGGAUGUAAACUUCGCAAGAACAGGAAGAAUAAGUGGGGGACAAUACCCCCCAUGAUGACGGUACUGUUUGUAAGCUCCGGCUAACUCCGUGCCAGCAGCCGCGGUAAUACGGGGGGAGCAAGCGUUGUUCGGAUUUACUGGGCGUAAAGGGCGCGUAGGCGGUCGUGACAAGUCACUUGUGAAAUCUCCGGGCUUAACUCGGAAAGGUCAAGUGAUACUGUCGGACUAGAGUGCAGAAGGGGCAACUGGAAUUCUCGGUGUAGCGGUGAAAUGCGUAGAUAUCGAGAGGAACACCUGCGGCGAAGGCGGGUUGCUGGGCUGACACUGACGCUGAGGCGCGAAAGCCAGGGGAGCGAACGGGAUUAGAUACCCCGGUAGUCCUGGCCUUAAACGAUGAAUGCUUGGUGUCUCGGGUUACAUAGUCCCGGGGUGCCGUCGCUAACGCUUUUAGCAUUCCGCCUGGGGAGUACGGUCGCAAGACUGAAACUCAAAGGAAUUGACGGGGACCCGCACAAGCGGUGGAGCAUGUGGUUUAAUUCGACGCAACGCGAGAACCUUACCUGGGCUAGAAUGCCUCUGACACCUUAGAGAUAGGGCCUUUU